AUGAUUCUCCAUUCUGUCAUUCUGCUUUCUGCCUUUGCAUAUGCAGUGUAUGGAAAUGAAAUUAGACCAACCAAAUUAGAGGAGACUGCUGUUGAAGGUUCAAAUAUUAAAUUAUCCUGCAGUUAUUCAUCUGCAUAUACUCUUCACUGGUACCGUCAAUACCCAGGAACAGCUCCUGAGUUCAUUGUGCUCAUCUCAGAUGGUGCAAAAGCUCAGGAGUCUAAUGUAGAUUCCAGAUUCACAGCCAAGGUCAGUAAAGGCAAAGAAAAUCUUGUGGAUCUGGAGAUCUCCUCUGCAUUCAUAUCAGACUCUGCUCUGUACUACUGCGCCCUGGAGCCCACAGUGGUGAAGAAAGAGGGGUUUAUAUCUGAGGGCAUUUUGAUCAUUUAA